UACUUCACCACUUCCUGUACAUCUCACCAAGGUGUAGCUUCGGGUGCAGCAAGGUAUACCUCAGUUCCUGGAGUCGCCGGAACAAACUAUCGGCUUCACGCUAGAACUGCAGGUUACUCGGUUACAUGCUCCCUUUUUCUUUAGAGUCAAUACAAACUUGUAGUAGUCCAUACUGUAUUUUUCCAGGAUUUUCUUACUUUAAUUAUGCAAAACUUCCUGUAGGCUUUACUGGAACGGAACCAGGAUGCAAAGGCUGCAAGUGGUUUAUAAAGUUCAAGCACUGUGUACAUGGUGAAGCUACUCACUUUAGGCGAGUCAGUGACUCCCAUGGCAUCUAUUUUUCUUUUAGAUGGUUCUGAACAUCUGGUUGUCAUGUCGUUUUGCAUUCUAUUGUUUUAUUUGGCACUGCUAUCUUGUGCAACUAUGAGCCCCCUGUGCAGCUUAUUUGUAGGCAAAUUUCUUGUUUAUGAGAUGAUGUUGACAUAUACAGUGGCCAAAUGACUGUAAAAUGGGCAUUCCUUUUUUUUUUUGUUGCUUUUGUGGAUUAUCUUAAACUCUCUUGAUCAUUCUUCUUGAUGGUUAAUGUGAAUGAUUGCAUAUUUGCGUACAAGUUUAAAAUGCCAGAUUAGUUUCUUUGGAUGGAAGUUUUUUCUUGUAAAACCUGUUUUCGUUCGUAGUUUUACUAUGCCUAGUUCAGGUCACUUAAAUAUUGACAUAAGUCUUCGGUAAUGGUACAGAAUCAGCAAUUCUGUUACCAGCAAUAGAGCAUUGUUAUUUCCGUUGUCUUAAAUGAAAUAUAUAUGUUAAGUUUGGCCGUUGACAUUAUGCUAGCUCUUUGUCUAUUUCUCUUCUGAUGACAAAGCUGGUACUGCAUAUAUCCUGAACAACAUGUUAGUGCAUUGAUGAAAUGUAACAACUCUUAUGGAAAACGGCACCGUCGGUUGAUUCAUCUUAAAUUUCUUAUAUUGUGUGUUGUGACUUUCAGGUAAGGAAGAAAAGAUCAGGAAGAAAAGGCUAGGUCCUCCGCUCUGGCAGCACACCACCACAUCUUGUGCGGCCUGGAUCACACAUAUACAAUCCAGGUCUGAAACAAACAGUGUGACACCAAACAGGAUAAUGAAGAGGAGGACGAGAAGACAUGCAGGGUAUCUGUACCUGUAGCUGGUUGCAGCCUGCAUCACUUGGAAGCUGGAAGACCCUUGGACAAGGAGGAGACAACAUCAUAUGCCUAGCUUGGUCGAGCUAUCUAUGCGCAGUAACUUCCUACACUGUAAUUAGCUCUGCGAUAUGGCUUACAAUGCAUUGAGUCAAGACUUCAGAUUCGAAAGUGUUUGCUAAGGCAGCAUGUUUCAUACUGUACAUCAAGUUUCCUUUGUUGUUCAUUGUUCUGAAUUGCGGUACCUCUCUUUGAUUAGACCCCUGAUCGAGUUGAACUGUAUGAGGUUAACA